GGGGGUGUCCUGGCUUCGACAGGGCCCACGAAAACUAUCGGGCGUGCUUGGGUUGAUCGCCCGGCCCAAUAAAAAGGCGAUCAAAUUUUAAUUGGCGAACAAAACUUCGCUAUGGCCGCCUAGCCCUAAGGGCUACACAGCCAUUGAGGGGCCUGCACCGAUAACAAAAAGCAGGUAAAGAGUUUUCGGUCGGUGACUCGAUAAAGAAACUGACCCAAGAUUUGCCGGGAUUUCUUGUCAAAAAACACCGGGAUUUGCUUCUUUGACAAAAGAAGAAUAGGUUCCAAGGCCUACUCCUUGGAGACGCACGUAAUUCCCGUAGAUUGGAAGGGGUCUUGGAAGUGGGUUCAAUUCCCACCACCUCCACCA
rnacentral:tmRNA from 1 species